GGUAGGGUGGCCGAGUGUAGGCGGUGGGUUGUAGCCCCAAAGAUGGAGGUUUUAAUCCUCCCUCUACCA
rnacentral:tRNA from 1 species